UACGUAGGGUGCAAGCGUUGUCCGGAAUUAUUGGGCGUAAAGAGCUCGUAGGCGGUUUGUCGCGUCUGCUGUGAAAACCCGAGGCUCAACCUCGGGCCUGCAGUGGGUACGGGCAGACUAGAGUGCGGUAGGGAGAUUGGAAUUCCUGGUGUAGCGGUGGAAUGCGCAGAUAUCAGGAGGAACACCAAUGGCGAAGGCAGAUCUCUGGGCCGUAACUGACGCUGAGGAGCGAAAGCAUGGGAGCGAACAGG
rnacentral:rRNA from 1 species